rnacentral:rRNA from 1 species
UACAGAGGGUGCAAGCGUUAAUCGGAAUUACUGGGCGUAAAGCGCGUGUAGGCGGUUUAUUAAGUCGGAUGUGAAAGCCCUGGGCUUAACCUGGGAACUGCGUUCGAUACUGGUAGACUAGAGUCGGGCAGAGGGUGGCGGAAUUUCCGGUGUAGCGGUGAAAUGCGUAGAUAUCGGAAAGAACACCAGUGGCGAAGGCGGCCACCUGGGCCCAAACUGACGCUGAGGCGCGAAAGCGUGGGGAGCAAUCAGG